UUUUUUUUUUUUUUUUUUUCCUAGGGCUGCAUGCAGCACAUGGACGUUCCCAGGCUAGGGGUCCAAUGGGAGCUGCAGCCGCCGGCCUAUGCCACAGCCACAGCAACGCCAGACCUAAGCUGAGUCUGCGACCUACACCACGGCUCAGGGCAACACUGGAUCCUUAACCCACUAAGAAAAGCCAGGGAUCGAACCCGCAACCUCAUCGUUCCUAGUCGGGUUCAUUAACCACUGCGCCACCAUGGGAACUCCGACACAUACUGAAAUAUUUGAAUGAAAUUAUGUAACUAGGAUUUUCUUCAACAAGAAUUUGGAAGUAAGGGGAGAAGUCAAAUGAGAACAUAGAUAAAAUGGAAUUGACUACAUGCUUAGUUGAAAAUCAGUGAUGGAUACAGCUGACUCAUUACAUUAUUCUUUUUUCAUUUUUGGCUGUGCCCACAGCAUGCAAGAGUUCCCAGGCCAAGGAUCAACCCAAGCCACAGCAGUGACAACACUGAAUCCUUAACACUAUGCCAACAGGGAACUCUAAUCCUAUUUUCAUAAUGUUAACAUUUUUCACAUUAAAAAUUUAAGUUUGUAUGAGUAAGUUUUUAAUGAAUACCAAUUACACCAGAACUUAAAAUUGUGACUAUAAAGGAACUGCAAACAAAAAUUGCUUACUUCCAAACUAAAUACGAAGGGCUCAUUUUUCAGAUCUUUUCUAAUAAAUAAUGUGUUUUAAACACAUCUCUACUCAUUACCCUAACAAUCCGAUUUUUAGAAAAUGCUAAGUUAACCAACCAUUCUGUCACUAUACAAAUAUUUCAUAAUAAUAUACUGCAUCUCAUAAGCAAAUAAAAUAAAAUGAGUGAUACACCCUCUACUUAGAUAUUUUCAGAGUUCCAACAUCCUUAUCGCAAGUCAAUAAAAGCAUCAAGGAAAAGGGGAAGGAGUUAAUAAUUAAGAAAUCUACCCUUCCUUUCUUUUCACACUUAGACUUUUACUUCCCCGUCUACUAAAUUUAGACAAUGUUCCAUGGCACAAUUACCAGAUUAAUGUGAUUACAGCAAUUGAUUUUAGACACCCAUUACUCAAGACAGUCACUCCCAUGACUAAACUAAAUAAAGAAUGAAAAUCGUAACUGUCCUUUGUGGACCUGCACAUAAAAAGCAGUUAACAGAGACGCACGCAUCAAUACUGAACUUGUACCUAUUUGUUAGUUAACAUCAAAAGGUCUUAACAUCAACCCAGAUCUCAACAUGACAUCCUAGAUUUUUCAAUUAAAAAAGGAGGUAAAAUGCCUUUGGAAAGGCACUUCAAAGAUAGUUAAAAAUAGAAGUACACGUUACAGUCAAUAACCAUAAAAAUUAGCAAGGAUGGCACUUCAAACAAAAUCUGGAAUAUAACCAUAGAUCAGUAUCUACCAAAUUUUUAAAAAGCCAGCAUAGACUAGGCAAUUUAAAGAGGAAAGAUAAAGACUCUCAAAGCAUAAGUAACCUUUAAAAAUGAAUAAACUGUCUUAACUGACAUGAAAAUAAUAUAUCAUCCCUACAGCGAAUUAAUUCCAGAUGGAUUACUUAGUUUAAAAAUGUUGAAAACCUACAAAAAGCAGAUGACAGGAGAGAACAUUUAUUAAAUAUCUCCAGGGAACUGACUUUCUAAUCUUUGAAGACAUAUAAAGAAAAAAGGAAAAAGAUCUGAACAAAUGAAAAUGAUAACUCCUGUAUCUCAUAUAUAAACAAUAAAAAUGAAACGAAGCCAGCGGAUAUACAUGCAGCAAAUGUAAUAACCGUUUAAUACGACUAAAUAUAAAUGGCUCCUGAAAACUGAGACCAUAUACAUCAUAAUUAUUUCCAUCUUAGAACAAGAGGAUCCUGAGCCAUGGAGGAGAAGCGUCUUAGAAUAUGAAAUGCACUGACAGCUGUUUCCAAGGGGGGCAAAACACAUUUUUGGUGUCGUCUCUGCAACCUGUGCCUGUGUGUCUACUCUCAAAUCAAUUCCUUGUCCUUCUCUGCCCCUCCCCGUGCGACAAGGAACGACAGUCCCCAGGCUCCCUUGCUCUGGCUUCCAGAUACAGCCUAUCAAUACGAGAGGCAAUGGCAGGGGCCUCUCGUAUUUUUCCCUUUCUACAUCUUGCUAUUUUUCCCUUUCUACAUCUACCCUAUGGUUACAGCUCUCGUCCUUCAGCCCCGAGCUCUGUGGUUCCAGCUCUGGGUCUGUGCCCUCUCUGUGGUUUUAGCCCCUGCCAGAUGGCCUCAGCAUCCAAGCUCUGGUCACACUACCUCUUCCCCCAUCUCUCUCUGUCCUCAACAUGGCAAUGGUUUCUGUUGUUGCUCACUCUACCCAAUUUGGCUUCUCUGCUCUUUCAAAACCUGUUUAUCAAUUCCAUGCACUAAAAUAUCCCAUUUAAAAUACCCAGAAUCUUUUUAUUUUCCUAACAGGACCCUGACUGAAUGAGGACCUUAAAAGGUCCUACAAUCGGGACCUUAAUAGGAGAUUUCAAUAGAAGAAGCUGCUAACUCAAAGUAACACUUACUGGACCUUACUUUUUAGGGAAGGAAGAAAAAAAAAAAAAAAAAAAAAAAAAAAAAAAACAACACACACACAUGAAAACAGAAAACUGAGAUGCAUAAAUUACCCGUGAGCCUGAACCACUUAACACUGACGAUCCUAACACGAAUGGGCAGCCUCUGGGUCAAACCUUGACGUAUAAAGUCACCCCAGUAAGCAAAAGAAGUAGGGUUUAAAAAAACGCUUUAAAGAAUGAAUUAAAGGUGUUCCCAUCAUGGCACAGCGGAAAUGAAUCCGACUAGGAACCAUGAGGCUGCAGGUUCAAUCCCUGGCCUUGCUCAGCGGGUUAAGGAUCUGGCGUGGCCGUGAGCUGUGGUGUAGGUCGCAGAUGCGGCUCAGAUCUGGCAUUGCUGUGGCUCUGGCGUAGGCCGCCAGCUGUAGCUCCUGUUAGACCCCUAACCUAGGAACCUCCGUAUGCCAAGGGUGCGGCCCUAAAAAGACAAACAAAACAAAACAAACAAACAAAUAAAAAAGAAUGAAUUAAAAAAGACGGUUUCUGAUUUAGAAACCUACAGUUAAAUAAGCUUCGGUUCCAGCCUCCUCUCAAACUCUCAACUUUGUCCUUCUUCCCCCUCCUCCUGUGACAUUUUCUCCAGGAACAAGAAAAAUUCACAAGUUGGUGAAAAGCAGUGGAAAGUUUUAUUCAGAAACUUGAAAAUCAGACUUACAACAACUUUGGCCAGCAUACGGCUGCCAAAGUGAAAAAAUCCGAAUCAAAGCAAAGAUAAAUACCAUAGAACAAUGAUAAUAGAGGUAAAAGUAGAUAAAUAGGUUGUCUGUGAAAAACUUCGCCAAGUAUGAUAGAAUAUUUUAUCUAAAUCUUAUACGUAUCUUAACAUAAGACUGAGUAAUCUAAGACCAGUUUAGCGUCUCACCAUGGCUUACCUUGAAAACCUUCCAAUAUACAAAGAUCUCCUCAUCAAACUCCCAUAAAGGGACAUUUUGACUGACCAAAUAAUGGGGAAAAAAUUGAGUUUAAAAAAUGUAAACAAAACAAAACAAAACAGUGUACUGAAACAGCGGUUUGGGUAUGUUUUACAGAACAAAGGACAACACUGUUCCUAAAAAUCACAGAAACUAUCUCUAAAUUUCAACCAGCACCCUGAUGCUCCUGCUCGUAGCUUAAGGUUUCUAACCAGAGAGGCAGACUGAGGAAUUAGGAAGGGUUGGCUCCAGGACCCCCUGAAGAGACAAAAAUCCGAGGAUAGUUGAGCCCCUCAUAUAAAACAACAUAGUAUUUGCAUACAAUCCACAUACAUCCUCCAUAUACUUUAAAUCAUCUCGAGAUUACUUAUAACUAAUAUGAUAUAAAUGCUACGUAAAUAAUUAUAAAUGCUAUGUAAAUAGUUGGCAGUACGGCAAAUUCGAGUUUUGCUUUUUGGAAGUUCCUGAAAUUUUUUUUUCCCCAAAUAUUUUCGAUUCACAUUUAGCUGAAUCCACAGAGAUAGAACUUGCAGAUGUGGAACUCCCAGAUCAAAGGGCCAAAUAUACAGCUGUAAUACUACAUUAAACCAUAUUCUAGGGAGUUUCUGUCGUGGCACAGUGGAAACAAUCCGACUAGGAACCAUGAGGUUGCAGUUUCGAUCCCUGGCCUUGCUCAGUGGGUUAAGGAUCCAGCGUUGCCGUGAGCAGUGGUGUGGGUUGCAAAUGUGGCUUGGAUCUGGCGUUGCUGUGGCUGUGGUGUGGGCUGGCAGCUGUGGCUCCAGUUAGAACCCUAGCUUGUGAACCUCCAUAUGCCUCAGGUGCGGCCCUAUAAAGCAAAUCAAACAAGCAAACAAACAAACCAUGUUCUACUGGUCAUAAUAGGUUUCCUUAACUUCGCAUGUGCCUAACUCACUAUCAAAAGUGAAAUACACAAAAAAAUUAGUAGUCAGAAAUCAAAUACUAUUUUAAAUGUAUACUUACCAUAAAAAUGAUCAUCUGAUUAGUAACUUUUCUUUGAUUUUAAGGAAGUUCAUAAGACUAUAUUAAAAUAGAAUUUCAUAAAUCCAUGAAACCACAGGCCAGAUUUUCUUAAAUUUUUUUGUUUCAUUACAUUUCAUCUAUUCCAGGCCAUUAAAAAAAAAAAAAAAACACUUUAAUAUGAAAAACUAAAAGUCAUAGUUUCACUCUUUUCCUACAAAUUUCAACUUUAAAAAAAAUAACAACUAUAGAAAUGGAGAAAUCAAAAAGGCCAAUUCCAAUAUUCCUCAAUUAACAUGCCACUUUUAACACAUAAAUACAUGUGAAUACUUUAACACAAAAAUAAAGAAAAUGUUCCAUUAAGGUUAUGGGGUACAUCUCUGGGCUUGACUGCCUGCCAAAAUUCACUAACUCGUAUUAACUUAAAUCGCCUUUUAUUGGCCCUGGUUGAGAACCUUUAAAACUAUUCCCUAGAUUCCAAGACACAGCAAGUAGGGCUGACUUGACUUAGAGCAGCUCCAAUCAUAGGCCACCCAAGUUAUGCCGAAGGCAAUAUGGCCAGAAAAGCAUGGAUAACUGCCAAGAGUAAUUCUAUCCAGGUCUCUGAAACCCAAAACCUCCCUUCCAACACCUUCACCUCACGUCACCUCCAUCUAACAGACACCUACUGAUAUCAGGCACAAACUUUUGAAGAGAUUGGGAAAUGGCAAAAGGAUACGUGUGGAUGCUUGGACUAAAUACCUAAGAUUGUCUGAAAUCUACAUCAACCUAAAAUUUAGCAAUCAUAACACCCAUAAUAACAAAAAUAUCUUUAUUUGUAUUACAUGCAUUCUUUGCCAGGUAUUCCAAGUACUUAAAAAAUAUGGACUCAAUCUUUCCAGUAAUCCUACAAUAUAAGUACACUAUUAAUAAUCAAACAAGAAAGCAGAGACCCAGAGGAGUUUUGUAAUUUGCUCAGGAUCACACUGCAAGAAAGUUUAAGUACUGGGAUGUGAACACACCAUGACUGUCUUCAGAGUCCAUACUCUUGCAUGCCUAUAUUUCUUACAUCUCUUCUAAACUAUCAACAUAUAAAUACUCAAAAUAUUUAAGUUUGGAGCCAACAUAAUAAAUCAAAAUAACCAAAAAAAAAAAAAAAAAAAAAAGAGAGAGAGAGAGCAAGAGAAAUGAAAAAAUUCUCUAUAUACUGAUGAUGGAAGAAGAUCCAAGAUGGGAAUUCUCAUUAUGGCUCAGCAGUAAUGAACCCAACUAGUAUCCAAGGGGGUUGGAUUCCUGGCCUCACUCAGAGAGUUAAAGCCGUGAUGUAGGUCACAGAUGUGGCUCUGAUCCUGCCUUGCUGUGGCUGUAGGUGUAGGCCAGCAGCUAUAGCUCCAAUAUGACCCUUAGCCUGGGAACUUCCAUAUGCAGCUUGGUGUAGCCCUAUUAAAAAAAAAAAAGAAGAAGAAGAAGAAGAAAUAAACUGUUAUAGGAAGAACAUCAGUAAAAAAAAUCUGUUUUUAAAGAUAUUUAUGAACAUGUCCACAGUUUUCUGGGUAGCUAGACUUAAGGUUUGCUAAGGUGUUUUGUUUUGUUUUUAACUUUUUUUUGUCAUUGUUUUCCAAGUAUUUUCUUUUUUAAAAAAGUAUGUUUAACUAGAAUGUAUAUAUAUAAUUUUUCUAAUCAGAAGUAAAAUGUUCUCUUGAAAAUGUGAUUGUGAUAAAUUACUAUUUUCAAAAUAAUACAAUGACAGAGAAAAACUGUUCAUCAAAAUCUAACAGUUAUUCACAACAAUUCUACAGACUAUAUUUUGAGGUAGAAAGAAGCGGGAAGAGGUUUGAGUUACCUAAAAAAAACAAAGUGACACUCUUACCUACUUAAGCCAAAACAUUCAAAACAUCAGAAUUACAAAUACCAUCCAGUGAGAAAUAACAUGGGCUAUACAAGCUAUAAAGGGAACAAGGGCAAUGAGUCCAGAAGAUCUGAAGUAAGACACAACACUGGCUUCAAGCACGUAUACGCUCUGUGCGCGUAUUAACACCAAAAUGAGAUGAAUCAAGCUUGAGCGUUGAUACUAAAUUGUCAAAUGCAUCCAUACCUUAGACUCAUGAGUUGUGUAGGAGUAUUUUUGACGUAUUUUGAGGUUUUGAUUUCUGUUUGUUGUUGUUUUGGCCAUGCCCACAGCAUGUGGAACUUCCUAGGCCAGGGACUGAACCCGUACCAUAGC
ensembl:lncRNA